AGAACGAACGCUGGCGGCAGGCCUAACACAUGCAAGUCGAGCGCACCUUCGGGUGAGCGGCGGACGGGUGAGUAACGCGUGGGAAUAUGCCCUUCUCUACGGAAUAGCCUCGGGAAACUGAGAGUAAUACCGUAUACGCCCUUCGGGGGAAAGAUUUAUCGGAGAAGGAUUAGCCCGCGUUGGAUUAGGUAGUUGGUGGGGUAAUGGCCUACCAAGCCGACGAUCCAUAGCUGGUUUGAGAGGAUGAUCAGCCACACUGGGACUGAGACACGGCCCAGACUCCUACGGGAGGCAGCAGUGGGGAAUCUUAGACAAUGGGGGAAACCCUGAUCUAGCCAUGCCGCGUGAGUGACGAAGGCCCUAGGGUCGUAAAGCUCUUUCAGCUGUGAAGAUAAUGACGGUAGCAGCAGAAGAAACCCCGGCUAACUCCGUGCCAGCAGCCGCGGUAAUACGGAGGGGGUUAGCGUUGUUCGGAAUUACUGGGCGUAAAGCGCGCGUAGGCGGACUAUUAAGUCAGGGGUGAAAUCCCGGGGCUCAACCCCGGAACUGCCCUUGAUACUGGUAGUCUUGAGUUCGAGAGAGGUGAGUGGAAUUCCGAGUGUAGAGGUGAAAUUCGUAGAUAUUCGGAGGAACACCAGUGGCGAAGGCGGCUCACUGGCUCGAUACUGACG
rnacentral:rRNA from 1 species